GGGUAGGAACACCAGUGGCGAAGGCGACGUUUCUGGCCUAUAACUGACGCUGAGGCGCGAAAGCGUCGGGGAGCGAAACAGGAUUAGAUACCCUGGUAGUCCACGCUGUAAACGAUGAGUGCUAGGUGUAGGGGUUUCGAUACCCUUAGUGCCGAAGUUAACACAUUAAGCACUCCGCCUGGGGAGUACGGCCGCAAGGCUGAAACUCAAAGGAAUUGACGGGGGCCCGCACAAGCAGUGGAGCAUGUGGUUUAAUUCGAAGCAACGCGAAGAACCUUACCAGGUCUUGACAUCCUUUGACCACCUGAGAGAUCAGGCUUUCCCCUUCGGGGGACAAAGUGACAGGUGGUGCAUGGUUGUCGUCAGCUCGUGUCGUGAGAUGUUGGGUUAAGUCCCGCAACGAGCGCAACCCUUGAUCUUAGUUGCCAGCAUUUAGUUGGGCACUCUAAGGUGACUGCCGGUGAUAAACCGGAGGAAGGUGGGGAUGACGUCAAAUCAUCAUGCCCCUUAUCGACCUCCGGCUACACACGUGCUCGUCGACGCGGCCG
rnacentral:rRNA from 1 species